UUUGACAAUGAUGAGUUGCACUUUUUGACUGGUUUGCUGGUGGCAGUUGCACUGCAGAUCUGUCCUGAUUCUCUGUGGCGACACCCGAUGUGCACAGGGGCCAUCUGAGUCACC